rnacentral:rRNA from 1 species
CUACGGGGCGCUCCAGUGGGGAAUAUUGGGCAAUGGGCGCAAGCCUGACCCAGCAACGCCGCGUGAGGGAAGAAGGUUUUCGGAUGUAAACCUCUGUCCUUGGGGACGAAGAAGUGACGGUACCCAAGGAGGAAGCUCCGGCUAACUACGUGCCAGCAGCCGCGGUAAUACGUAGGGAGCAAGCGUUGUCCGGAAUUACUGGGCGUAAAGGGUGCGUAGGCGGCAUAUUAAGUCAGGUGUGAAAUACUCGGGCUCAACCCGGGGGCUGCAUUUGAAACUGAUAUGCUUGAGUGUGAGAGAGGAAAGUGGAAUUCCUAGUGUAGCGGUGGAAUGCGUAGAUAUUAGGAGGAACACCAGUGGCGAAGGCGACUUUCUGGCUCAUAACUGACGCUGAGGCACGAAAGCGUGGGGAGCAAACAGGAUUAGAUACCCCUGUAGUC